GAUGAACGCUGGCGGCGUGCCUAAUACAUGCAAGUCGAGCGAACGGACGAGAAGCUUGCUUCUCUGAUGUUAGCGGCGGACGGGUGAGUAACACGUGGAUAACCUACCUAUAAGACUGGGAUAACUUCGGGAAACCGGAGCUAAUACUGGAUAAUAUUUUGAACCGCAUGGUUCAAAAGUGAAAGACGGUCUUGCUGUCACUUAUAGAUGGAUCCGCGCUGCAUUAGCUAGUUGGUAAGGUAACGGCUUACCAAGGCAACGAUGCAUAGCCGACCUGAGAGGGGGAUCGGCCACACUGGAACUGAGACACGGUCCAGACUCCUACGGGAGGCAGCAGUAGGGAAUCUUCCGAAAUGGGCGAAAGCCUGACGGAGCAACGCCGCGUGAGUGAUGAAGGUCUUCGGAUCGUAAAACUCUGUUAUUAGGGAAGAACAUAUGUGUAAGUAACUGUGCACAUCUGGACGGUACCUAAUCAGAAAGCCACGGCUAACUACGU
rnacentral:rRNA from 1 species